rnacentral:rRNA from 1 species
UACAGAGGUGGCAAGCGUUGUUCGGAAUUACUGGGCGUAAAGGGCUCGUAGGUGGCCAACUAAGUCAGACGUGAAAUCCCUCGGCUUAACCGGGGAACUGCGUCUGAUACUGGAUGGCUUGAGUUUGGGAGAGGGAUGCGGAAUUCCAGGUGUAGCGGUGAAAUGCGUAGAUAUCUGGAGGAAUACCGGUGGCGAAGGCGGCAUCCUGGACCGGCAUUGACGCUGAGGAGCGAAAGCUAGGGGAGCAAACGGG